rnacentral:rRNA from 1 species
CCUACGGGAGGCUGCAGUAGGGAAUAUUGCUCAAUGGGGGAAAGCCUGAAGCAGCAACGCCGCGUGGAGGAUGAAGGUUCUCGGAUUGUAAACUCCUUUUGUUAGAGGAGAUAAUGACGGUAUCUAACGAAUAAGCAACGGCUAACUCCGUGCAAGCAGCCGCGGUAAUACGGCGGGUGCAAGCGUUACACGGAGUCACUGGGCGUAAAGGGCGCGUAGGCGGGAUAGCAAGUCAGAGGUGAAAGCCUAAGGCUUAACCAUAGAACUGCAUUUGAAACUGUUAUUCUAGAGUAUGGGAGAGGUAGGUGGAAUUCUUGGUGUAGGGGUAAAAACCGUAGAGAUCAAGAGGAAUACUCAUUGCGAAGGCGACCUGCUAGAACAUAACUGACGCUGAUGCGCGAAAGCGUGGGGAGCAAACAGGAUUAGAUACCCUUGUAGUC